UGUUCGAUGGCGUAGUUGGUCAUCCCAUCUGCCUAACACCAGAGACUGUCAGUUUCACGGAAGGUCCCCAGUUCGAGCCUCGGUCGAAUUA